UUUGAUGUAAAUGUAAUAUUUUGUUAUUAUAAUAUAUUGGGUUAGUAUUUUGUGUGAAAAUUUUAGUGUUAUUAUAGUGUAAAAGUACUUUUUGGGAAAUGUUUUAUUUUAAUUAAAUUUAGGAUUUUAAUACCUUUUGUAUUAGGGGUCUUUAAUGUAUGUAGAUAUUAAUUUUUUCUCGAUGAACAUCGGGCUAUUUAAUUUUAUUUUAGUUUUGUUGUAUAAGAAUUAUUAAGGAAUAAAUAGAUAUGAAAUAUUAUUCAAGAUGUUUUAUAUCUGGUUUUUCUAGAAUUAUAAUGGUGUGUAUAAUUAUUUUGGAUAUAAAUAGGGAUUAGCUUAUUUAUAAUUUAUAUGUUUGUUUUAUUAUUAAUUAUUUGUGGGGUUAAAAGUUCUUAUUAUUAUGGUGUUAUUACUGAAUAAAAAUUUUAUAUAAUUUUUUUGUUUUAUAUUAGAAUAGAGAAUAUUGUAUUAAUUUUGAUUAUUAAUGAUAUAAUGAUGAUAUUAGUAAUAUUGGUAUUUAUAGGUAGGGUUUUGGAUUAUUAAAUUAGUUGGAAAAGUUAUUUAUUAAUUAUGAAGAAUUCGGCAAAAUAAACUUUUGACUGUUUAGCAAAGACAUUGUUUUUUGUUAUAGGAUAAGAAAUAAUUUCUGCCCACUGUUUUUAAUAAAGGGCUGCAGUAUUUUGACUGUAUGAAGGUAGCAUAAUCAUUAGCUUUUUAAUUAGAAGCUGGUAUGAAGGGGAAACAGAGGUUUGCUAUUUUAUUUUUAUAUAAUGAAUUUUAUUUUUAUGUGAAAAAUCAUAAGUGAAAUAGUGGGACAAGAAGACCCUAGUAAGUUUAAUUUUUUAUUUUUAAUGCAUAUAUAGGAAUAAGAAUUUAUAUAAUUUAUUGUAUUUAGUUUAAUUGGGGCGAUGUAUUAUUAAACAUAAUUUAUUUUUUAACUUGUUUGAUGACGAUUUAGGUGGACCUAAGUAGUUUAGUUGAGUGUAAAAUUACUGUAGGGAUAACAGCGUAAUUUUUUUUAAGAGUUCUUAUUAGCAAAAAAGUUUGCGACCUCGAU
rnacentral:rRNA from 1 species